rnacentral:rRNA from 1 species
GAUGAACGCUGGCGGCGUGCCUAAUACAUGCAAGUCGAGCGAACAGACGAGGAGCUUGCUCCUCUGACGUUAGCGGCGGACGGGUAAGUAACACGUGGAUAACCUACCUAUAAGACUGGGAUAACUUCGGGAAACCGGAGCUAAUACCGGAUAAUAUAUUCAACCGCAUGGUUCAAUAGUGAAAGACGGUUUUGCUGUCACUUCUAGAUGGAUCCGCGCCGCAUUGGCUAGUUGGUAAGGUAACGGCUUACCAAGGCAACGGUGCGUAGCCGGCCUGAGAGGGUGAUCGGCCACACUGGAACUGAGACACGGUCCAGACUCCUACGGGAGGCAGCAGUAGGGAAUCUUCCGCAAUGGGCGAAAGCCUGACGGAGCAACGCCGCGUGAGUGAUGAAGGUCUUCGGAUCGUAAAACUCUGUUAUUAGGGAAGAACAAAUGUGUAAGUAACUAUGCACGUCUUGACGGUACCUAAUCAGAAAGCCACGGCUAACUACGUG